UACGUAGGGUGCAAGCGUUAAUCGGAAUUACUGGGCGUAAAGCGUGCGCAGGCGGUGAUGUAAGACAGAUGUGAAAUCCCCGGGCUCAACCUGGGAACUGCAUUUGUGACUGCAUCGCUGGAGUGCGGCAGAGGGGGAUGGAAUUCCGCGUGUAGCAGUGAAAUGCGUAGAUAUCGGAAGGAACACCAGUGGCGAAAGCGGCUUCCUGGUCCAGCACCGACGUUCAGGCACGAAAGCGUGGGGAGCAAACAGG
rnacentral:rRNA from 1 species